CGCGCGUCGCGCACCUGCCCAACGCUCAGUCCACCGCCACACGCCGGCCUGGCGACUUGUGCUACACGCACGCCGCCACUUUCUCACGCGAGCCCUGCGCGUCGUCUCUCGCUUCUCCCGAUACUCAGUUUCCCGCUCUCUCCCGCACUUUCGAAACUUUCACGCACUUCGAGCGCGCGAUCCCGUGUUCCCGCGCUUCGGACGAGACGGCGCGUGCCGUGACGCUGGUCGGCCGCUGAUGCGGUCGUGAAAGACGAGUGCUAGGCCUCGAGGAGGCCGCCGGCACGCUGUUCCCGCCGCAGCUAGGGUGCGUGUCCUACGUGACGCCCUGCGCUUGCUGCCCGCCGCUGUACCUGCAGCCGGCCCCGCAUCCUCAUCCGCUCCCGUUGCCGCUGCCUCUCCCGUUGCCCCUCGCUCUCCCACUCCAAGCCCUAGACCCUCAAGUCGGUAAACAGAGACUGCUGCUCUCUAACAUGGUACGUGGAUGUUGUUAGAGAAAGUUCACAUAGAUUUGAUUCAUUUAACUGCGUGAGUGAAUCUUCACUACUUGAGUGCAGCAACGGGCGUUACACGGCGUCCGAUACGUCAGACGAGGAACAUCGGGUUAUGGAGAUAUUUUCAGAG